AUGAAUGCCAGUACCAGUGUUUCUCUGGGUGCCAUGAGACCCCUACUUAAGAAGCUUGACAUGAUGCUAGGUCCUCAUGGAUGCAAGCUGACCAAGGGGGUCAAUGAUAGGUCGCAGCUCCUCAGAGAUGAUCUUGAAGAAAUAGGUGCAUACCUUGAAGAUUUGUUAGAGGUGGAAGACCCGCCCCUAGUGGCCAACUGCUGGACGAAAGAGGCGCGGGAGUUAUCUUAUGACAUCCAAGAUUGUAUUGACAACUUUGUGCCCCCUGAGUCUCUUGGGUACAAAUCUGGCCACAAGAUGACUCAUGUUAAGAUUCCCAAGAGGCUCAAGUGGCAGAAACAGAUUGAAUAUGCAGCUCCUGAUGUGUCAGGACAUUUUAUCUCCAAAACCAUUCGUGUUGAUGUCAUUCGUGCUCCCAGGAAGCUCAAGUGGUACCAGCAGAUAGUUGAAAAGGUAUCAGAAUUCAGGAUCUAUGCCCGGGAGGCGAUCCGACGGUACGAGAGGUACCAACUCCAUUGUUGUAGCACCUCGGCGGCACGUAGAUUUUCAGCCAUUGGGCCUAUAAUGCCAAUGUCGCCAAUGCCUUGUGAGAAAACUUGUUCCGGCCUAGUAAUUGAUGGUCGGAUGAGCAAGUUUAUCAACUCUUUGUCUAACGACGCGGAUCAGCAGCUCAAGGUGGUGUCUAUUCAUGGAUCUGGAUAUCUUGGUAAAACAAUGCUUGCCAAAGUGUUGUACAAUAAACUUGGGAGGAAAUUCCAUUGUCGGGCUUUCGUCCGGGUGUCCAAAAAGCCUGAUAUGAAGAGGCUUUUCCGCGACAUGCUAUCACAAUUCCAGCGGAAGCAGCCCGGAGGAAGCCAAGACGUUUCCGAUGAACUUCGUGUUACUGCUGAAAAUAUCAGGAAUUAUCUACAUGGCAAGAGGUAUCUAAUUGUUGUAGAUGAUUUAUGGGAUACAUCAGCAUGGGAUGUUAUUAAUCAGGUUUUUCCCAAGGGUAUUCAAGGCAGCAGAAUAAUAACAACUACACAGAUUGAAGAUGUUGCAUUAGCAUGUGGCUGCAAUCACCCAGAACAAGUUUUUGAGAUGAAACCUUUGGAUGAUGAUCACUCAAGGAAGCUAUUCUUUGGCAGGAUUUUUGGUACUGAAAGUGAUUGUCCUGAAGAAUUCAAACAAGUUUCAGGCCAAAUUAUAGAGAUAUGUGGUGGUUUGCCACUAGCGACGAUCAGCAUAGCUAGUAUUUUGGCAAACCAGCCUUCCUUAUCAAUGGAUUUAUUCACACGCAUACAUGAUUCAUUAAUCUCCUGUUUACUGUCAAAUUCCAGUCCAGAAACAACGAGACAAGUAUUGAAGCUCAGCUAUAACAGCCUUCCUCACUACCUCAAGACAUGUUUGCUGUAUUUUAGUAUGUAUCCAGAGGGCUCCAUACUGUUCAAACAUGACCUGGUCAGGCAAUGGGUGGCUGAAGGGUUUCUUACUGCAAGUGAAGGACAAAAUAUGGAAGAAGUUGCAGGAAUGUAUUUCGAUGAACUUGUUGACAGAAGAUUCAUCCGACCUAUGUCUAUCAACUUCAACAAUGAGGUGGUGUCCUGCACAGUUCAUGCCCUGGUGCAUGAUCUUAUUGCACACAAGUCUGCACAAGAGAAUUUCGUUGUGGUAGUAGAUCACAAUCGAAAGAUUUUGGCACUUUCUCAUAAGGUACGUCGACUGUCUCUCCAACUUGGUGAUGCAAAUUAUGCCAAGAUACCAGCAAACAUCAGAAAGUCACAAGUACGGUCACUUGUAUUUUUUGGAUUGGUGGAGUGCAUGCCUUGUAUUGGAGAGUUCAAGCUUGUUCGUGUUCUGAACCUUCAGCUAUCUGGCCAUCAUAAUGGCGACCAAGACCUGUCCAUAGACCUCUCUAGAGUAUCAGAACUGUUCCAGCUGAGAUAUCUGAAGAUUGUUUGUGAUGUCUGCAUAAAGCUUCCAAACCGUAUGAGAGGGCAGCAGUGUUUGGAAACACUGGAUGUUAUGGAUACACCAAGAGGCACUUAUGUUCCAUGGGACAUUAUAUAUCUCCCACGCUUGUUGCACCUCAGUCUUCCUCCUCACACAAAUCUGCUGGAUUGGUCUGUCGGUGACGAUCUGAGCCUUUGCAAGCCGAACCACCUGCAGGAUCUUUGCAUUUCUACACCGCCUUCUUCAGAUUCCGACCAUCUGGAGAGGAGCAUGGAAGCUCUGGAUUAUUUAAUGUAUGAGCAUGACAGCCUGAAAACUGUAAAACUGGUGGCUCACGGAUCCUCGGUUAGCUAUGGUGACGCUUCAAAAGAAAGAGCUGGCUGGAUGUUGGAUAAACCAAACCACCAUAUCCAUAGAUUUGAGGUCUCACCUCACAGCCCCGUCAUAUUUGGUUGUAUGGAUUUGUGGACGAACCAAUUUCCCAACCUAUGCAUUCUGAAGAGUGCAGUGGAUGGACUGUCAGUAUAUGAUGUUGAUUUUCUUGGAGGGUUGCCUGCCCUCACUGCUCUGUCGUUGUAUGUGGAGACGGCGCCUAGAAUGAAGAUCAUCUUUGACAAAGCCAGGUUCCCAGUUCUCAAGUACUUGAAGCUGAGGUUCACGAGUGGUAUAGCUUGGCUAAAUUUUGAAGCGGAUGCAAUGCCUAAUAUCUUGAAGCUCAGACUCGUUUUCAGUUCCAUCCCCCGAAUGGACCAACGACUUAGUCUUUUUUCGCAAUCUGACCAGUGGAAACAAUAUCAACAUGGUAGUGCAUUAAUCAGCAUCGACCAUAUGACAGGCCUUAGAGAAGUCUCCGCAAAAUUUGGAGGUGCAGCUGCUGAUCUGCAGUAUGUCUCGAGGAUCGGCGCAGUUAUUAAUCAUCCGGGAAAUCCUGUAAUAGGCAUGCAAUUAGUUGACUCUGGUUCCUAUUGUGAGGAAAGCACAGCCAUCACAGGAGUCUUCUUCGCGCCUGCAUCCUCCAGGUCCAGAUGGUGGAGAGCAGCAGGUUGUGGUAUCUUGGAGCCAUACCAUUGA
rnacentral:rRNA from 1 species